AGAGAAAGCUGGGACAGAUUCAGGCUGCUUUCAAAUGCCAGUUGGUCCUCAGCGUGGGAAGGGGGCGGCCAGCACAGGGCUGCUGCAGAGGACAGACGCAAGGCCAGUGGGAGGAAGUUCUGGGAAGCAGAUGUCCACAGAACACAAGAUCGACGGUAGGCGGCGAGGACCGUGCCACGCAGCUCGCCGUGUGUUUGGGUAGAGGCCAAUGCCUCCCUACGAGGGCACUGAACUGGCAUUUGCCUGUCUGGCUGCUGCCAACCUAGCAUCUCACCAUCGCUCCAUUCCUGGUGGCAGCUCCUGGAUUUUCCUUGGGGGAAUCAACCUUCCUCAGUGACUGUCCAUGAGGUUCAGGAAGGGGUCUCGGGGGAACCCAUGGUCCCUGCUUCCCCAGCCACAGCAAGCCUUUUGCUCUGUCUCAGGGCUGGAUGCUUGAUUCCAGCCUGUGCAGUCCAAAACAGAGGCAUCUUGGAGCUGCUGGGAAAAAGCAGCUCUCUUUCCACGUGGGUUAGUAAGCUGUAAGGAUGUAAUCACAGCACUAGUAGCAACCAUCUUGUCACCACAUAAGAAAAGCUGGCCAGGGAAAGCCCACGCAGAGAACUGCAGAAGCAAGACAUGAGGACAUAUUCUAGACAUCAUUUGACUCUCUGGAUCAAGCUGUGCCCGAACCCCUUAAAUUUGCUGUUAUAUAAAGCAAUAACUUCCAUAUAAGCCAAGAAGUUUCAGUUAACUUUAUGGCACUUGCAGGUGGCAGUUCUGACCUGUCUACCUGCUCUGUAGGCAGACAGGAGCAGAGGCCCUUCCAAGGAACCAGAUACACUGUAAAGAUGGACAGACCGAAAUGAAGAGCAAAGUUCAAACUCCUUAGCAAGGUUCCCAGUGCAUUCUCUGUUCUGUCUGGCCCUAAAGAGACUGCGGAGCAGGGUGGGGUCAGAGGACCUUGGGGGACCCUAGCUUCCAUCUCACUUUAUACAGUCUGAGGAUGAGUUGAUAUAAUGUAUAGUGAAUGCCAGGCGCUGUGCAGGUGAGCACCACGUGAGCAUUGGCACCCUGCCCCUCUACCUUGGCCUUCCUAACGGAGACAGUGAUGGCCAUAUGCCCCCAAGUGCCAUGGUCUCCUCCAACUUCCUGGGAAUUUUCUGCUCAUCUGCAGAGCUCUCUGUGUACACAUGAAAGGUCUGGUAUUUUCCAUACUUUCCUCAUCUAUCCAUCCACCCAGUUGUGUCCCAGGCAGUGUGCUGGGUGUAGGGGACUCAGAGGCUAAUGAGUCACACCCCUGACAUUAGAGAGAUAAAUGCAGAUGACCUGUGCCAGGCCAAAAGUACCCUGCAACUUAAUUCCAGGUCUUUAAUUGAGCUUCCUGCUGGGUGGCUCAGAGUAGAAGUCUAAGAGGUGCUAAUAGUCGUCUCACCUUCAGCUGAAGCAAGCUGAGAACAGAACCAAUCUAGAGGCCAUUAGGGCCAAGAAAGGAAGAGAAGAAACUAGAGCCCUGAGGACACUGUCUGAGACCCUGGAUCCACC
rnacentral:lncRNA from 1 species